GUGAGGAAUAUUGGACAAUGGAGGAAACUCUGAUCCAGCCAUGCCGCGUGAGUGAUGAAGGCCUUCGGGUUGUAAAGCUCUUUCGGGUGUGAAAAUGAUGAUGGUAACACCAGAAGAAGCCCCGGCUAACUCCGUGCCAGCAGCCGCGGUAAUACGGAGUGGGGCGAGCGUUGUUCGGAAUCACUGGGCGUAAAGCGUGCGUAGGCGGUUAUACAAGUCAGGAGUGAAAUCCCAGGGCUCAACCUUGGAAUUGCUUUUGAGACUGUAUGACUAGAGAUCUAGAGAGGUUGGGGGAAUUCCGAGUGUAGAGGUGAAAUUCGCAGAUAUUCGGAGGAACACCAGUGGCGUAGGCGCCCAACUGGCUAGAUACUGACGCUGAGGCACGAAAGCGUGGGGAGCAAACAGGAUUAGAAACCCGUGUAGUCC
rnacentral:rRNA from 1 species